ACGAAUUCCGGGUAGACUGAUAAACUUGAGACCGGGAGAGGCUAAGGUACUCCUGGGGUAAGGUGAAAUUCUGUAAUCCUAGGGGACCACCAGUGGCGAAGCGUCUACUAAACGGGUCUGACGGUGAGGGACGAAGCCCUGGGGAGCAAACGGGAUUAGAUACCCCGGUAGUCCAGGGUGUAAACGCUGCUUGCUUGAUGUUAGUCGGGCUCCGAGCCCGAUUAGUGUCGGAGAGAAGUUGUUAAGCAAGCUGCCUGGGGAGUACGGUCGCAAGACUGAAACCUAAAGGAAUUGGCGGGGGAGCACCGCAACGGGUGGAGCGUGCGGUUUAAUUGGAUUCAACGCCGGAAACCUCACCGGAGGAGACGGUUACAUGAAAGCCAGGCUGAUGACCUUGCUAGAUUUUCCGAAGGUGGUGCAUGGCCGUCGUCAGUUCGUACCGUAAGGCGUUCUGUUAAGUCAGACAACGGACGAGACCCUCGUCUUUAAUUGCAACUGGCAACUCAGGUUGUCAGGCACAUUAAAGAGACCGCUGGCGAUAAGUCAGAGGAAGGCGAGGGCAACGGUAGGUCAGUAUGCCCUGAAUCCUCCGGGCUACACGCGCGCUACAAAGGCUAGGACAAAUGGGUCCCGACACCGAAAGGUGAAGGUAAUCUCGAAACCUAGUUAUAGUUCGGAUUGAGGGUUGAACUCACCCUCAUGAAGGUGGAACUCCGUAGUAAUCGCCAGAUCAACAUUCUGCGGUGAAUAUGCCCCUGGUCC
rnacentral:rRNA from 1 species